CGCCCUUAGAGUUUGAUCAUGGCUCAGAUUGAACGCUGGCGGUAUGCUUAACACAUGCAAGUCGAACGGCAAGGGAGUUUACUCCUUGCGAGUGGCGGACGGGUGAGUAAUACAUAGGAAUCUGCCUUAUAGUUUGGGAUAACUACUCGAAAGAGUAGCUAAUACCGGAUGUGGACUACGGUUUAAAGCAGUUCGUUGCGCUAUAAGAUGAGCCUAUGCAAGAUUAGCUAGUUGGUGAGGUAAAGGCUCACCAAGGCGACGAUCUUUAGCUGGUCUGAGAGGAUGAUCAGCCACACUGGGACUGAGACACGGCCCAGACUCCUACGGGAGGCAGCAGUGGGGAAUAUUGGACAAUGGGGGGAACCCUGAUCCAGCAAUACCGCGUGUGUGAAGAAGGCCUUCGGGUUGUAAAGCACUUUUGUUAGGGAGAAUGGUGAUUUAGUAAUCUGAGUCAUUGAUGUUACCUAAAGAAUAAGCACCGGCUAACUCCGUGCAGC
rnacentral:rRNA from 1 species